rnacentral:rRNA from 1 species
GAUGAACGCUGGCGGCGUGCUUAACACAUGCAAGUCGAACGGAAAGGCCCAAGCUUGCUUGGGUACUCGAGUGGCGAACGGGUGAGUAACACGUGGGUGAUCUGCCCUGCACUUCGGGAUAAGCCUGGGAAACUGGGUCUAAUACUGGAUAGGACCACUUCUUGGAUGUUGUGGUGGAAAGUUUUUUCGGUGUGGGAUGAGCUCGCGGCCUAUCAGCUUGUUGGUGGGGUAAUGGCCUACCAAGGCGUCGACGGGUAGCCGGCCUGAGAGGGUGUACGGCCACAUUGGGACUGGGAUACGGCCCAGACUCCUACGGGAGGCAGCAGGGGGGAAUAUUGCACAAUGGGCGCAAGCCUGAUGCAGCGACGCCGCGUGGGGGAUGACGGCCUUCGGGUUGUAAACUCCUUUCGCUAGGGACGAAGCGUUUUGUGACGGUACCUGGAGAAGAAGCACCGGCUAACUACGUG